CCUACGGGUGACAGCAGUGAGGAAUAUUGGUCAAUGGACGAGAGUCUGAACCAGCCAAGUAGCGUGAAGGAUGACUGCCCUAUGGGUUGUAAACUUCUUUUAUAAAGGAAUAAAACGAGGCACGUGUGCCUUUUUGCAUGUACUUUAUGAAUAAGGAUCGGCUAACUCCGUGCCAGCAGCCGCGGUAAUACGGAGGAUCCGAGCGUUAUCCGGAUUUAUUGGGUUUAAAGGGAGCGUAGAUGGGUUGUUAAGUCAGUUGUGAAAGUUUGCGGCUCAACCGUAAAAUUGCAAUUGAUACUGGCAGUCGUGAGUACAGUUGAGGUAGGCGGAAUUCGUGGUGUAGCGGUGAAAUGCUUAGAUAUCACGAAGAACCCCUAUUGCGAAGGCAGCUUACUAAACUGUGACUGACAUUGAUGCUCGAAAGUGUGGGUAUCAAACAGGAUUAGAUACCCUGGUAGUC
rnacentral:rRNA from 1 species